rnacentral:rRNA from 1 species
AAUGGGGGAAACCCUGAUGCAGCCACGCCGCGUGUGUGAAGAAGGCCUUCGGGUUGUAAAGCACUUUCAGUUGUGAGGAAAAGUUAGUAGUUAAUACCUGCUAGCCGUGACGUUAACAACAGAAGAAGCACCGGCUAACUCCGUGCCAGCAGCCGCGGUAAUACGGAGGGUGCGAGCGUUAAUCGGAAUUACUGGGCGUAAAGCGCACGCAGGCGGUUUGUUAAGCUAGAUGUGAAAGCCCCGGGCUCAACCUGGGAUGGUCAUUUAGAACUGGCAGACUAGAGUCUUGGAGAGGGGAGUGGAAUUCCAGGUGUAGCGGUGAAAUGCGUAGAUAUCUGGAGGAACAUCAGUGGCGAAGGCGACUCCCUGGCCAAAGACUGACGCUCAUGUGCGAAAGUGUGGGUAGCGAACAGGAUU